rnacentral:rRNA from 1 species
AUUGAACGCUGGCGGCAGGCCUAACACAUGCAAGUCGAACGGUAACAGGAAGCAGCUUGCUGCUUCGCUGACGAGUGGCGGACGGGUGAGUAAUGUCUGGGAAACUGCCCGAUGGAGGGGGAUAACUACUGGAAACGGUAGCUAAUACCGCAUAACGUCGCAAGACCAAAGAGGGGGACCUUCGGGCCUCUUGCCAUCGGAUGUGCCCAGAUGGGAUUAGCUAGUUGGUGAGGUAACGGCUCACCAAGGCGACGAUCCCUAGCUGGUCUGGGAGGAUGACCAGCCACACUGGAAAUGAGACACGGUCCAGACUCCUACGGGAGGCAGCAGGGGGGAAUAUUGCACAAUGGGCGCAAGCCUGAUGCAGCCAUGCCGCGUGUAUGAAGAAGGCCUUCGGGUUGUAAAGUACUUUCAGCGGGGAGGGAGGGGUUAAGGUUAAUAACCUUAGCCAUUGACGUUACCCGCAGAAGAAGCACCGGCUAACUCCGUGCCAGCAGCCGCCGUAACAC